UCAAAAGGGUCUGAGUGCUCGGCUGGGGUUUGGGGGCAAACGAAAAAUGGACUGCAUGGCGGCUUCCUGACAACGAUCGGGUGGGCGAGCUCAAUCAACCAAAGCUGCAAAGUUCAAUUUUGUGGGCAAUUUCUUAAUCUGCAGAUUACGAAGCUUAUAUUGAAGAAUCUUGGAUGGAUUCCGAUCCUUCAAAUUUUCGCUGGAUUUGCUCCAUCAUUGGAGAACCGAUCUGGUAUUGACUUGUUGGCUUCACGUUAGUCCCUCCCUUCAGACAAUAAUCUUUAAGCAAGGAGAAAGAUAUGCCUCGAUUCAAUUAGUUGCAGUAUUGAUUUGCCAAACAUGGUUUCGAUCGAUGUCACCAAAUCUUGCCUUUAUUCAAUUAGCCAGUGUUGAAGUUGGAGCUUCUUAAGAAGAACCAAAACAUGGUUUUCAAUUCAUGAGAAUGUUAAGCUCACCAUUGAGAUUGGGGACACGAGAAAGAUGAGUGCAAAGCGACUCCUUGGCAUCAAAGACCCUGAUGCUCCCACCAGGGAAGAGUUGGCUGCUGUUCUUGAAGAAGUCCCUUCUUUUAAGUUCCUAUGCAUAAUGCU